rnacentral:rRNA from 1 species
UACGGAGGGGGCUAGCGUUGUUCGGAAUUACUGGGCGUAAAGCGCGCGUAGGCGGACCUGCAAGUCGGGGGUGAAAGCCCGAGGCUCAACCUCGGAACUGCCUUCGAUACUGCGGGUCUCGAGUCCGGGAGAGGUGAGUGGAAUUCCUAGUGUAGAGGUGAAAUUCGUAGAUAUUAGGAAGAACACCAGUGGCGGAAAGGCGGCUCACUGGCCCGGGUACUGACG